rnacentral:lncRNA from 1 species
GAUAAGGACUCUCGGAGAGAAAGGGGAGAGCCUGAAAGCUAACAGGAGGACCCAGAUGUCAGGGGGCGAGUUCAGAAGAGAGCCUCCAGCCCUUCAGUCUGGACGAGCAGUCAGCUGAGACCGUGUGAAGUUUCAGGACAGCGACCGUUACCUCGGUGAUCCCGUGGGAGCCUUGCAGCCACGAACGCCAUACAAAGGUGCGUCCUGCUCAGCAGUAGUCAGAGGCCCAUCGUCUUGCGCUGUGACACCCCAGGGACCAGGGAACAGACAGGAAGCGGUGCUGGGGGCGCAGGAAGGGUCCGAGGAGGAUAUCGAAGCAGCAGGAAGUGACAGCCAGCAGGCAGGAAGAGGAAGGGGAAGAUGAAAAGACAGAGGCAGUCUGGCUUCCCCGGGCACUCGCCAAAGACUGCACUGAGCGCCAGCCAGGCCCUCAAAGAUGCAAGUGGGGACCAGCAGCUUGCAGAUUCGAAGGCUUCUCUUCUCAGCGCCAUCGGCCAACCUUCAGACUCAGCCAGCGUCAGCGUCGGCGUCGAGGGGUUUCCAUCAGAUCCUGGCUCCUGAUGGGACUCUUUGUCCUGCUGCCCCGCCCUUACCCCCCAGGAGCAGGUGGCCGAGCGAGGACCCCUUCUCUCGAGGCAGGAGGGGGACCCCGUCAGUGCUUCCUUUGUGGGUCUUGCCCGACAUGGGGGGGAUGAAGGGAGGAGGGCGCAGAGGUGCCCAGCCACACCCCACCCCCACCCUCAGAGCAACAGGGCCGCUAGAACGUUCUGCAGUGACAGGAGGGUUCUUCAUUCAUCUGCAGCGACCAGGACAAUAGGCAUUAGCCACUCGGAUCUCCAGAUGCGGCACCUGAAAUACGGCUCGGGCCACAUUUCAAAAUAAAGCAUUUAAUGGGGUUUCAGUUUAAUGAGAGUAUACAUGUAGAAAACCAGAUACGACGGCUGGCUUCUGAAUUGGAGCGCCCGGCUCCCCAUCCUUGUUUGGGGUCUCUAAUUACAGUCUCUCUAGAACUUUCUGUUUAGCCAAGGUAGAUUUACACAGUAUAAAAUUCAGUCUUGUCUGUGCACAGUUCUGCUCUUUUUGACAAGUACGUGGAGUUGUAUAAUUGCCACCGCAGUCAUCACCUCCCCCCCAAGAUCCCCACAUGUCAUUUUGUGGUCAGCCCCAGACCUCCGGCCCCUGGAACCACUUGUCUCUGUCUCUAUAGUUUUGCUUUUUCCAGACUGUCCUAUAAACGAACGCAUACACGA